GCCCCCAUGGUGUAGCUUGGAUAACAUGGAGCCCUGCGGAGGCUCAGCCCCGGGUUCAAAUCCCGGUGGGGGCA
rnacentral:tRNA from 1 species